rnacentral:rRNA from 1 species
CGAAGGGGGCUAGCGUUGUUCGGAGUUACUGGGCGUAAAGGGCGCGUAGGCGGCCCUCCAAGUCGGGUGUGAAAGCCCACGGCUCAACCGUGGAAUUGCAUUCGAGACUGAAGGGCUUGAGGACGGGAGAGGAUGGUGGAAUUCCCAGUGUAGAGGUGAAAUUCGUAGAUAUUGGGAAGAACACCGGUGGCGAAGGCGGCCAUCUGGACCGUUUCUGACGCUGAGGCGCGAAAGCGUGGGGAGCAAACAGGAUUAGAUACCCUGGUAGACCACGCCGUGAACGAUGAGUGCUAGACGUUGGGAAGCCUAGCUUUUCAGUGUCGCAGCUAACGCAUUAAGCACUCCGCCUGGGGAGUACGGCCGCAAGGUUA